AUACUUACCUGGCAGGGGAGACACCAUGAUCAAGAAGGCGGUUCACCCAGGGCGAGGCUCGUCCAUUGCACUCCGGCCGUGCUGACCCCUGCGAAUU
rnacentral:snRNA from 1 species